CCAGCAGCAGCAGGAGCCCCGGGGGUCCCCGCGCAGCGUGGGCGCUGCGGGAGGCGGCAGGGAAGCGGGCUGCGAGGAGCACCGCGGCCAUCGGCGACACGGGAAAUAAGUUUUCUCGCGGUCUCUGCGGCAGCCGAGCAAAUCGUCCUCGACAUUUCCCCGCCCGGCUGCCCCUGCCCCCGCGGCUGCCGAGACAGCUCCCGCGAGGAAGCCCGCCCUGCUGCCACGGCACCUCGUUUUUCCUUAAAAGCUUGUUGGCAGAAGAGAUUUCUUGGGGUAGAGCCCAGCCCGCUGCUAACACGUGAAAGAGUUAAUGGUUUAUUCGAGCUGCUGCUUCCACAUACCACGAAGACCCCACGUAGGCAUCCAGCGUCCUCUGGUACAGUGCUUGGAGAGCGCAAACAGCAAGUCAGCCAUGUGGACUCCAUCUCCAGAUUUGCCCCCUGACUUUCAUGCACUGCUCAGCCCUUUCUUGAAAGCAUGUCCCUGGGAGCUGGGCAAUGGCAUUUCAUUAAAACCUGCUGUAAUUGCCCAAGUCCAACUGGUCGCUGGGCUCUGGUCAUUUCUUGACGAGCCUUUCUUGACAUCGUUACUGUAAUUAGUGAAGAAUAAAGGUAUGCUUGAAAUUUG